rnacentral:rRNA from 1 species
GACAGAGGGGGCAAGCGUUGCUCGGAAUUACUGGGCGUAAAGAGCGUGUAGGCGGCCAGGUAGGUCGGUUGUGAAAACUGGAGGCUCAACCUUCAGAGGUCGACCGAAACCAUCUGGCUAGAGUCCGGGAGAGGAGAGUGGAAUUCCUGGUGUAGCGGUGAAAUGCGCAGAUAUCAGGAAGAACACCCGUGGCGAAAGCGGCUCUCUGGAACGGUACUGACGCUGAGACGCGAAAGCGUGGGGAGCGAACAGG